AGACAAAACUAGUACUGGUAGAAAACUGGGCAUGCAGCUCUAAGAAACUCUAUGGGAAGUGAGGCUGGAUGGGGCACAGCUGCCCCAGCCUGGCACCCAUAUGGAGCAUCAGCAAGGAAGUAGGAACUUUCUUUUCAUCAUGCAUCCUUCUUAUCACUUCUCAGUUUCAAAGUGAAAGAAAAUUUGGUAAUCUGCAUUUUGAGACAUUAAGAAAGUAAAAUAAUUGAUGGCUUCAUGGUUGGAUGGCAUUUUUCAGAGUAUUGUCAGAAAAUCAUUUCGAACUGAAAUUACUUUCAUUCAAAAAUAUUUAUUGAAUGCCGGCUAUGUGCUGAAGAUUCUUAAGAUACAUCAGUGAACAAAUCAAAGUUCCCUGCUUUCUUGGAGCUUGCAUUCCAGCGGGAGGAGAGGAUUUGGAGGAAGAAUGGGAUAGACAAUAAAUGUUCCAUGAACUGCUUCCUCUGACAUGAGAUCUA
rnacentral:lncRNA from 1 species